rnacentral:rRNA from 1 species
GGACGAACGCUGGCGGCGUGCUUAACACAUGCAAGUCGAACGAUGAACCUGGAGCUUGCUCUAGGGAAUUAGUGGCGAACGGGUGAGUAACACGUGAGUAACCUGCCCUUGACUCUGGGAUAACCUCCGGAAACGGAAGCUAAUACCGGAUAUGACGCACGGAGGCAUCUCCUGUGCGUGGAAAGAACUUCGGUCAAGGAUGGACUCGCGGCCUAUCAGGUAGUUGGUGAGGUAACGGCUCACCAAGCCUACGACGGGUAGCCGGCCUGAGAGGGUGACCGGCCACACUGGGACUGAGACACGGCCCAGACUCCUACGGGAGGCAGCAGUGGGGAAUAUUGCACAAUGGGCGCAAGCCUGAUGCAGCAACGCCGCGUGAGGGACGACGGCCUUCGGGUUGUAAACCUCUUUUAGUAGGGAAGAAGCGAAAGUGACGGUACCUGCAGAAAAAGCACCGGCUAACUACGUGCCAGCAGCCGCGGUAAUACGUAGGGUGCGAGCGUUGUCCGGAAUUAUUGGGCGUAAAGAGCUCGUAGGCGGUCUGUCGCGUCUGCUGUGAAAACCCGAGGCUCAACCUCGGGCCUGCAGUGGGUACGGGCAGACUAGAGUGCGGUAGGGGAGAAUGGAAUUCCUGGUGUAGCGGUGGAAUGCGCAGAUAUCAGGAGGAACACCGAUGGCGAAGGCAGUUCUCUGGGCCGUAACUGACGCUGAGGAGCGAAAGCGUGGGGAGCGAACAGGAUUAGAUACCCUGGUAGUCCACGCCGU